rfam:Tauraco erythrolophus contig69775, whole genome shotgun sequence.
AGCCUGUGAUGGUUUCGGUGGAAGAGUAGUGGACAGAAGUGGUUUCUGAAAACUCCGCGCUGAGGCU